GACAGAGGGGGCAAGCGUUGCUCGGAAUCACUGGGCGUAAAGGGCGCGUAGGCGGGAUGGCAAGUCGGUCGUGAAAUCCUUCGGCUCAACCGAAGAACGUCGGCCGAUACUGCCGUUCUUGAGGGAUGCAGAGGAGAUUGGAAUUCCCGGUGUAGCGGUGAAAUGUGUAGAGAUCGGGAGGAACACCGGUGGCGAAGGCGGGUCUCUGGGCAGUUCCUGACACUGAGGCACGAAGGCUAGGGGAGCAAACGGG
rnacentral:rRNA from 1 species